AUCUCGAUGUAAAGUGAGGGAUAUGCAAUUUACAUACUAGAAGUUUAGCGAUUUUUAAAUUGCGGAGAAUAAGAAGCUUCUGGUGAAACGUUUCGCUCUCGAUUCCCCAGUUUCAUCGGAGGAGCUCUCUUAAAUAGAAUCAGAUUAAAACUCAACUAUUUGGUGCGAGUUGUAUCUCUAUUGCUCAGUCGAGAGUUUAAAACAGCUCAAGGGCCACGCUCUUAGCACAUUAGUUUCAUCAGAUUGCGACAUGCGUCGAAAUCUAACAGAAAUGAUGCACGAGGCCCUGUCUGUUUACGUUUGGAUUCAACCGAUUCAGGAUCAAGGUCACUGCAAGCCAUGCUCGAAACUGUUGUUAUAUCGACAAUUAAAUAUAAUUUUUAUUGAUAAAAUUUAUAAUGAAUCUCACUUAGUUGCAAAUGUAUAAUUGAGGAAGGAAAGUAAUCUCUGCAUUUACAACAAUUGGGUAGAAAAUAAUUUUUCUUUUAAUUCUGAUAUUAAAAAAAAAUUAAUCUGACAUAAGCCACAUUGUUUUUUU